GGCGAGGGCUAACGAGCCCACAGCCCUACGCGGCGGGAGGGAGCCAGUUGUCGGGCGGGGCGACAGCGGUCACACAGCAUUAGCCCUGCGGCCGCCCCGCCAGGUGCGGCCACUGCCCCUAAUCCCUGGCCCGCCCUGCUAAGCCCGGCCUGAGCAAUGCCACAGCUGGGGGCGGCCGGCCACGCGCCGCCCCUCACCGCAGCCCAGCUUUCCCCACCCCACCCCAACCCCUGGCGUGUGCCCUGAACCCCAAUCGAUCUCCAGCCCUGCAUAGCAAUCCAGCCCAGCUGGUCAUUGACCCUGUGCCCCCAACCUGGACUCUAAGCAUCUCCAUGGCUCCCCGCAAUGCCUCUCCUCUUGGUUCACCUGCCUCUGCUAUUGUUGGGAAGCUUGCUCUCCAAGAUAGAGCCUUCAUAGAUCUCAGCUACGGAUAGACACAGAGCUGCGAAUGCCCUUGAACUUGUGAUCCUUCAACAUCCACCUGAGGUGUUCAACUUACAG
rnacentral:lncRNA from 1 species